rnacentral:rRNA from 1 species
GACGAACGCUGGCGGCGUGCUUAACACAUGCCAGUCGAGCGGAGCGGCGAACGGGUGAGUAACGCGUGAGUAACUUCCCCCCUCUCUGGGAUAACAGUUGGAAACGGUUGCUAAUACCCUAUAGUGGGGGCUGAUUCGCGUCCUAUCAGCUUGUUGGUGGGGUAGUUGCAUACCAAGGCGACGACGGGUAGCCGGCCUGAGAGGGCGACCGGCCACAUUGGGCUGAGAUAGGGCCCAAACUCAUACGGGAGGCAGCAGUGGGGAAUAUUGCACAAUGGGGGAAACCCUGAUGCAGCAACGCGCGUGCGGGAUGACGGCCUUCGGGUUGUAAACCGCUUUCAGCCAUGACGCGGUAGUGGCAGAAGAAGCACCGGCGAAAUAAGUGCCAGCAGCCGCGGUAAUAC